GGCUAACGCUGGCGGCGUGUCUUAGCCAUGCAAGUCGAGCGGACUUAUGGGGUAACUUAUAAGUCAGCGGCGGACGGCGGAGUAACACGUAGCUAACCUACCCUCUGGACGGGGAUAACCUACCGAAAGGUGGGCUAAUACCCGAUGUAGUCAUCCUGUAUAGGGGUGAUGAAAGGUGGGCCUCUGUUUACAAGCUCAUGCUGGAGGAGGGGGCUGCGGCCUAUCAGGUAGUUGGUAGGGUAAUAGCCUACCAAGCCGAUGACGGGUAGCCGGCCUGAGAGGGUGACCGGCCCGAGGGGCACUGAGAUACGGGUCCCACUCCUACGGGAGGCAGCAGGCUAGAAAUUUGGGCAAUGGGGGAAACCCUGACCCAGUGACGCCGCGUGCAGGAAGGAGCCCUUCGGGGUGUAAACUGCUGUCGUGUAGGGAGAAGGGUACUAAGGUGAACAAUCUUAGUACUUGACGGUACUACAGGAGGAAGCCCAGGCUAACCUCGUG
rnacentral:rRNA from 1 species